rnacentral:rRNA from 1 species
CCCUUAGAUGUUCUGGGCCGCACGCGCGCUACACUGACGGAUUCAACGAGCUUACAACCUUGGCCGAAAGGUCUGGGUAAUCUCCAAAAUCCGUCGUGAUGGGGAUAGAUUAUUGCAAUUAUUAAUCUUCAACGAGGAAUGCCUAGUAAGCGCAAGUCAUCAGCUUGCGUUGAUUACGUCCCUGCCCUUUGUACACACCGCCCGUCGCUCCUACCGAUUGAAUGGUCCGGUGAAGCGUUUGGACUAUGGCUUUCUGAUGGUCCGCCGUUGGAUUACCGUGGGAAGUUCGUUAAACCUUAUCAUUUAGAGGAAGGAGAAGUCGUAACA